rnacentral:rRNA from 1 species
CCUACGGGGCGCAGCAGUGGGGAAUAUUGGACAAUGGGCGAAAGCCUGAUCCAGCCAUGCCGCGUGUGUGAAGAAGGCCUUCGGGUUGUAAAGCACUUUCAGUGGGGAAGAAAGCCUUGGGGCUAAUACCCUCGAGGAAGGACAUCACCCACAGAAGAAGCACCGGCUAACUCCGUGCCAGCAGCCGCGGUAAUACGGAGGGUGCGAGCGUUAAUCGGAAUUACUGGGCGUAAAGCGCGCGUAGGCGGUCUGAUAAGCCGGUUGUGAAAGCCCCGGGCUCAACCUGGGAACGGCAUCCGGAACUGUCAGGCUAGAGUGCAGGAGAGGAAAGUAGAAUUCCCGGUGUAGCGGUGAAAUGCGUAGAGAUCGGGAGGAAUACCAGUGGCGAAGGCGGCCUUCUGGACUGACACUGACGCUGAGGUGCGAAAGCGUGGGUAGCAAACAGGAUUAGAUACCCCGGUAGUC